rnacentral:rRNA from 1 species
GACGAACGCUGGCGGCGCGCUUAACACAUGCAAGUCGAACGGAAAGGCCUGCUUUCCCUUGUGGAUUGCGGGUACUCGAGUGGCGAACGGGUGAGUAACACGUGAGUGAUCUGCCCCCAACUUGGGUAUAAGCCUGGGAAACUGGGUCUAAUUCCCGAUAGGACUGCAGGGUGGUGCCUGUGGUGGAAAACGAUUUUCUAGUGGUUGGGGAUGAGCUGGCGGCCUAUCAGCUUGUUGGUGGGGUAAUGGCCUACCAAGGCGGCGACGGGUAGCCGGCCUGAGAGGGUGGACGGCCACAUUGGGACUGAGAUACGGCCCAGACUCCUACGGGAGGCAGCAGUGGGGAAUAUUGCACAAUGGGCGGAAGCCUGAUGCAGCGACGCCGCGUGGGGGAUGACGGCCUUCGGGUUGUAAACUCCUUUCGACCGCGAGGAAGCCACCUGGUUGGAAGGGUGGUGACGGUAGUGGUAGAAGAAGCACCGGCUAACUACGUG